CCCUCGCCUCUCGGGGUGGGGGAGAGGUGGCUUAACCCUUCCUGGGAGGACGCCCGCCGCGCGCGGGCUCCAUUCCACCCAGGCCCGGGCGGAUUCGCGAGGUGCUUCCGGCCUGAGGCUUAGACCUGGACGUCCAAGCCUGGGGAACGGCGGCCGCGUGCCCGGCCCCGCUUACUCUAGGCAGUUAACACACUCUCGGCACCGGGCCGGGGCCGGGGGCACCUCGGGCAGUGAGUCAGGCACCACCCUUGCCCCAGGCAGCUUGCCGUCGGGCCGGGGUAAUGACAGUCAUGAGACCGGCGAUGCAGAAUACAGGACAGUCAGGCCAGUGAAUCCAACUCUUCUGUGUGGACUUCUGUGCACAGGAUGAAAGGCACCUACCUCUUGCUUCUGAGAGACUUCCCUGCCUACUUUCUGGCCCAACGAGGCAAUCUCUUCAGAGUCAGGAGAAGGAGUGAGGCUGAUCUUGAACUCCUAGUUUUGAGAGAUCUUCCUGCUCUGUCUGGCCUCCCAAUGUUCUAGGAUUACAGGUGUGUGAGCCAUGGUGCACAGCCGCCCAGGUGUUUUUGGUGGAGGUGGCUCAAGUCCCCACCAGAGACACACUGGUUUAGAGCCUGCUCAGGAGGAACAAAGACGUUGAAGCUGCAGCAGAGACAGAGUCUUGCUAUAUUGCCCCGGCUGGUCUGAAA
rnacentral:lncRNA from 1 species